rnacentral:rRNA from 1 species
UUUCCUACGGGAGGCAGCAGUGGGGAAUAUUGGACAAUGGGCGAAAGCCUGAUCCAGCCAUGCCGCGUGUGUGAAGAAGGUCUUCGGAUUGUAAAGCACUUUAAGUUGGGAGGAAGGGCAGUAAGUUAAUACCUUGCUGUUGACGUACCGACAGAAUAGCCCGACUCCCCC